AGCACAGACAGUCUGAAAGGUCAAGUUUCUCCUGUGACACUGGACAGGCAGGAGGGCCUGGUGCCCUGAUGUGCUUCUGAUGGGAAAGCAACAUGUGAGAAGACAGGCAGCGGCGCGGCCUGCAGGAUACACAUUCCUAAACAUCACUUAGCCAUACAACCUGCGAGGGCGGAAAAGUGGGCAGAUGGAGAAAUAAUAUUUUCAUUGAAAAUUCUCUACCUCUAAAAUAUUUCCUGUCAAGGUUCCUUCCAAGGAGGGCUGAAGUGAGGGAGGAGGGGGCUGAGGUGGGAUGUGUGGCAGUGGAUACGAGUUUGACUCCUCAGGCCUCUCAAUUUUGAGAGCGUUUAACUCAAUCCCCUUUCCUUUUCCCCCACCUUGAGAAAAGGAUCAUGCUAAGCAUUACUGGAGCCGGAGGCAGUUUGGGAAGUGAAAUAAACACCUGACUGUUAAAUGCUAAAGGUUUACUCAACCAAAAAUAAAAAUAGUUCUGGUUUCCUCCACGAAGCUCUAGAAUUACGUUCAUCAGUGCACAUGAGCUGGAGGUUUGCGCAAGGGGAGACUUGAAUGGUUGAAACUCCUCAGUGGGAAAAUUUGGAGGCAAUAAGACAGGCCUCCCUCUGUCCUGUAAGAGCUCUUCUAUGCUGAGAAAAUACUGCAGCUGUUUUCCUGGUGCAAUCUAAAAAUAAACUCCCUCCUCCUUUCCUUGCUGCUCGUAUCGGUUUCAUGGGUGCUAUCGCAAAAACAAGAUGUGAAGUGCAAUGGGGCAGAGUCUGAAGGGCGGACAUGGUCCCCCUCACCCUGUCUGAGGGGCAAAAGGGAGCUGUGCCACAUGAUCCAUUAGGAAAUGUCAAAGAGUUUUAGACCAAAGUCACAGUAGCCUUUGGAGGUUCAGGAACUGCAAGGAGCAAAUUGUAAUCAACAAAUCCAAGCCCUGAGCAUUGGCACUAGUAAAUCAGAUCAGAAACUGUGGUGCAGGCACAGUGGUAUUAGGAUUCAUUACUAGAGCCUUUUCUGCUGUAGCUCUAUCAGAUUUAAGCCAACGUGUUGCUGUAGAUGAUCUGUACCUCUGCGAGCUGAAAUGGACCAUCAGAAAGAAACCAGGUAUUGGAAAAAUUAAAGGGGAAAGGACAGCAGCACCAUUUGCAGAGCCAACCUCAGAUGAAACAAGGACCAUUCCUAUUGCUUUGUGAACAAUCAAACUGGCUUUGGAUACUGGAAUUUUACUCUAGACUGUGAUUUGAAUAUUGGACACUCUUAAGAUCAUUAAUCCCCACUGUUUGGUUCAGGUCUCUGCUGUGAAAUAGAUUAAUUAUUUCUUGUGUGCAGUCUUUAUUCAGGCACUGAACAAUGAAGGAUCGUUUGUAGCUUUCUGCUCUUUUCAGUGUAUUUUCCAUGUCUUGUUCUGUAUCUUUUUGUUAUAAAGAUUCUAUCCUCACCUGUCAUGAGACAGUUUGAUUUCAGUGAACUCUAUGACUUUAUGCCAUUUCACGUGACUUUGUACCUAGCCUAGCAUUUUUAAUGUCUGCCUGUAUCUAUAGUUGCACGCGAAGGGGUUACGUUGCUGUGAGUAUAAACCUUCUCCAGGCUGCACCACACAGACAAGCAUGGCCAUGAGAAUGAAAGGAGCCUGUAGGGAUGAAACAACACUGAGCUGAACCCUCACCCAAAGGCAGGAUGGGACCUUUUUGGAGUGUUGAAGACAUGCACACAAACUCUUUAAUUUGUUGGCGUUCUGUAUUGCGUUUUAAGCUGAGACAACAGAAAUGCCAGUAAAUAUAUAAAAAGAUUGGAAACCUCCAACCUUCUUAAAAACAACAAAAUGCUGAAAAUCUGCAUGUAAACAGUUGCUACCAAGAUUUCUAAAUGCAGUUU
rnacentral:lncRNA from 1 species